rnacentral:misc_RNA from 1 species
GAUGAAGAACGUAGCGAAAUGCGAUACGUAGUGUGAAUUGCAGAAUUCAGUGAAUCAUCGAAUCUUUGAACGCACAUUGCGCCCUUUGGUAUUCCAAAGGGCAUGCCUGUUCGAGCGUCAUUUGUACCCUCAAGCUUUGCUUGGUGUUGGGCGUCUUGUCUCUAGCUUUGCUGGAGACUCGCCUUAAAGUAAUUGGCAGCCGGCCUACUGGUUUCGGAGCGCAGCACAAGUCGCACUCUCUAUCAGCAAAGGUCUAGCAUCCAUUAAGCCUUUUUUUCAACUUUUGACCUCGGAUCAGGUAGGGAUACCCGCUGAACUUAAGCAUAUCAAUAAGCGGAGGA